GCGCUGAUCCGACGGCACUGACAACGGAGCGGAGCGGAGCGGAGACGGCUACGAGAGCGACGAUGCAGCGACAAUGUUAACGUCUCGAUUCAAGCAGCCAACCAGCCAUCCAGCCAACCCCGAAAUAGGAAAAAAUCUGUAGAUAUAAUCCGUGGUCGGUGAGUGGGCACAGGGCGGGCGUUCGUUCAUAUGAAUGUCUCUCUGUGUGUGUGUGUUGUGAGUGCAGUGAGAACAAAAAGCACACCACCACCAGCAAGGACCAUACCAUACAUACCCCUGCUAAGAGCAGAGAGCAUCGAGCAGCGAGCAUCGAGCAUCGAGCAGCGAGCGUAGCAGCAAGCAGCAAAAGCAACAAGAAUGGCAAGGAUAACCGCACCCGCAACCCAACCCCCAUCUGUCACCCACUCCGAGGGCCGAGGAGGAAGACUUUUAGUGGCAACUCUGGUGGCGCAUUUGCUUGCUGGCUUGCUGGCUUGCUUUGAUUCGUUCCUUCUUGAUACUGUGGCAUCCGACGCUCUGUUGUUGUAUGUAAGCCAAGCCACAAUCGCAAUCUCCAAUAAACACCCGGCUCUGCGCUCUCUGCGCACACACACACACACACACACACGCACGCACGCUCACACUGAAACAGAGAACGCCGCCAUCAUGACUAAGCGAUUAGAGGAAGAAGGAAGGAGAGCAAUGGAGCCAUGGCAGGCCCCACUCACAGUCACCCUCGCACUCGCAGAAUCACUCCUACAGUGAGAGUCAGUGCUGCCAGGCCUUGUCCAUUAAAGCUCACUAGAUUUGGCUUAAUAAACAAUUAAAAAUAAAAACUAACGAAAUAGA
rnacentral:sRNA from 1 species